CCUACGGGUGGCUGCAGUGAGGAAUAUUGGUCAAUGGGCGCGAGCCUGAACCAGCCAAGUAGCGUGAAGGAUGACUGCCCUACGGGUUGUAAACUUCUUUUAUAAAGGAAUAAAGUGAGGCACGUGUGCCUUUUUGUAUGUACUUUAUGAAUAAGGAUCGGCUAACUCCGUGCCAGCAGCCGCGGUAAUACGGAGGAUCCGAGCGUUAUCCGGAUUUAUUGGGUUUAAAGGGAGCGUAGAUGGAUUGUUAAGUCAGUUGUGAAAGUUUGCGGCUCAACCGUAAAAUUGCAAUUGAUACUGGCAGCCUUGAGUACAGUUGAGGUAGGCGGAAUUCGUGGUGUAGCGGUGAACUGCUUAGAUAUCACGAAGAACUCCGAUUGCGAAGGCAGCUUACUAAACUGCCACUGACAUUGAUGCUCGAAAGUGUGGGUAUCAAACAGGAUUAGCUACCCCCGUCGC
rnacentral:rRNA from 1 species